CCAGUAGUGGGGAAUAUUGGCCAAGGGCGCAAGCUUGACCCAGCAAUGCGGCGUGUGUAAAAAGGCUUCGGGUUGUAAAGCACUUUUAUCGGAAAGAAAAACCGGACGGUGAACAGCCGUCCGUGCUGACGGUACCCGAGGAAUAAGCACCGGCUAACUUCGUGCCAGCAGCCGCGGUAAUACGAAGGGUGCAAGCGUUAAUCGGAAUUACUGGGCGUAAAGCGUGCGUAGGCGGUUUGUUGAGUCUGCCGUGAAAGCCCUGGGCUCAACCUGGGAAUGGCGGUGGAAACUGGCGAGCUGGAGUGCGGUAGAGGAGGGUGGAAUUCCCGGUGUAGCGGUGAAAUGCGUAGAGAUCGGGAGGAACAUCAGUGGCGAAAGCGGCCCUCUGGACGACCACUGACGCUGAGGCACGAAAGCGUGGGGAGCAAACAGGAUUAGAUACCCUGGUAGUCCACGCGGUAAACGAUGGGCACUAGGUGUCGGGGGUAUCCACUCCCUCGGUGCCGCCGCUAACGCAUUAAGUGCCCCGCCUGGGAAGGACGCUAUUCAAGGAUUAGGGGC
rnacentral:rRNA from 1 species